UAGGGAAUAUUAGAAAUGGACGAAAGUCUGAUCUAGCAACACCGCGUGUGCGAAGAAGGCCUUCGGGUCGUAAAGCACUUUUUGGAAGGAAUAGGAAGGAAUGUACUUCCAGAAUAAGUCUCGGCUAACUACGUGCCAGCAGCCGCGGUAACACGUAGGAGGCAAACGUUAUCCGGAUUUACUGGGCGUAAAGCGCGUGUAGGUGGUACUGUAAGUAGGGCGUGAAAGCUCCUGGCUCAACUGGGAGAGGACGUUCUAAACUACAGAACUAGAGGAUGGUAGAGGGAGGUGGAAUUCCAGGUGUAGCGGUGGAAUGCGCAGAUAUCUGGAGGAACACCGGUGGCGAAGGCGGUCUCCUGGACCAUUCCUGACACUCAGACGCGAAAGCUAGGGUAGCAAACG
rnacentral:rRNA from 1 species